CCCGAGGACAAAGUACAACUGGAUAACCGUUGUAAUUCAAGGGCUAAUCAUGCGUCAAUAGGAGCUCUGCUCCUGCAUUUGUUAGUCUCAAAUCAACAUUUUUGGUGAUUCAUGACAAAUUGCGUAUCCUCAUGUUGUAAAAAACGGAGGAAGACUCGGUCGAGUUUUUCACUUAUUAGGUCUAGUAGGGAGUGUAUUGUACUCUCUAGCCUUUGAUGAGUAACGGAGAAUUAGGGUUCGAUUCCGGAGAAGGAGCCUGAGAGACGGCUACUACAUCUAAGGAAGGCAGCAGGCGCGCAAAUUUCCCAAUGCUCAACGAGCGAGGAAGUGACGAUCAAUAAUAAUGCGUGUGGUUUACCACGUGCAAUUACAAUGAGUAAAAUGUACAAUCGUUUUCCAUGAUCAAUUGGAGGGCAAGUCUGGUGCCAGCAGCCGCGGUAAUUCCAGCUCCAAUAGGAUAUAUCAAAGUUGUUGCAGUUGAAAAGCUCGUAGUCGUACUUUUGGUGGGUAGAAGUUUCAACGCUGAGUUGUCGAAAGGUAGCUUAGCUUGGGACCGCCUGCCAUUUUGUGGAUCAAUGUGGGCAGAGUUUGGUUUACUCCGGAUCCUGCUCGCACCACUCCGUCACUGAGAGCAAAUUGGAGUGCUCAAAACAGGCUUUAUAGCUUUGAACAUUUUAGCUUGGAAUGACAAAGUAUGACUUUUUGUUCACUUUGUUGGUUAUGAAUAGGAAGUAAUGAUAAAUAGGAACAGUUGCGGGGGUACUCGUACUGGAAAGUCAGAGGUGAAAUUCUUGGAUUUUUCCACGACGAACGACUGCGAAAGCAUUUAUCAAGGAUGUUUUCAUUGAUCAAGAACGAAAGUGCGAGGAUCGAAGAUGAUUAGAUACCAUCGUAGUUCGCACAGUAAACGAUGCCGACUCGGGAUAGGGUAUUUUUUCGUUAUUAGAAUUUUCCCUGCACCGUAUGUGAAAACAAAGUCUUUGGGUUCCGGGGGGAGUAUGGUCGCAAGGUUGAAACUUAAAGGAAUUGACGGAAGGGCACACCAGAGGUGGAGCCUGCGGUUUAAUUUGACCCAACACGGGGAAACUCACCAGGUCCAGACAUGAGAAGGAUUGACAGUUUGAAAGCACUUUCUUGAUUUCAUGGGUGGUGGUGCAUGGCCGUUCUUAGUUGGUGGAGUGAUUUGUCUGGUUGAUUCCGAUAACGAACGAGACUCUCAGAGUAAACUGGCUCGGUCGUAAUUUACGUUACUUCCAGCCUCUUUUCUCGACUAUUCGUUUUAAACGAAAGGAAGCGGAGAGCAAUAACAGGUCUGUGAUGCCCCUCUAUGUUCUGGGCUACACGCGCGCUACAAUGACGAGUUCAACGAGUUUUUUUCCUUGCCCGGAAGGGUGUGGGUAAUCUUUUCAAUGCUCGUCGUGAUGGGGCUAGAUUAUUGCAAUUAUUAAUCUUCA
rnacentral:rRNA from 1 species